GACGAACGCUGGCGGCGUGCCUAACACAUGCAAGUCGAACGAAGCUUUUGAUUUCGGUUGAGAGCUUAGUGGCGGACGGGUGAGUAACGCGUGAGUAACCUGCCUUACAGAGGGGGAUAACGUCUGGAAACGGACGCUAAUACCGCAUGACAUUUCUUUAUCACAUGGUAAAGAAAUCAAAGGAGCAAUCCGCUGUAAGAUGGACUCGCGUCCGAUUAGCUAGAUGGUGAGAUAACAGCCCACCAUGGCGACGAUCGGUAGCCGGACUGAGAGGUUGAACGGCCACAUUGGGACUGAGACACGGCCCAGACUCCUACGGGAGGCAGCAGUGGGGGAUAUUGCACAAUGGAGGAAACUCUGAUGCAGCAACGCCGCGUGAAGGAUGAAGGUCUUCGGAUUGUAAACUUUUGUACUUGGGGACGAUAAUGACGGUACCCAAGCAGCAAGCUCCGGCUAACUACGUG
rnacentral:rRNA from 1 species